rnacentral:rRNA from 1 species
ACGCUCGACACCUACGGAGGCAGCAGUCGGGAAUAUUGCGCAAUGGAGGAAACUCUGACGCAGUGACGCCGCGUGCAGGAAGAAGGUUUUCGGAUUGUAAACUGCUUUAGACAGGGAAGAACAAAUGACAGUACCUGUAGAAUAAGCUCCGGCUAACUACGUGCCAGUAGCCGCGGUAAUCUGAGCGGGCUGGCAAGGC